rnacentral:tRNA from 1 species
GGGUCGUUAGCUCAGCUGGUAGAGCAGUUGACUUUUAAUCAAUUGGUCGCAGGUUCGAAGCCUGCACGACCCACCA